AUGCAUUUCUGACAGCCGUGGAGCAGUUCCUGUCUGUUGCCAAGAUUUCUACUACAGAUGCAAGAAAAAGAAGUCCUUGCCCUUUCUGUCUGUCUGGUUGUGGCAGCCAAGAUUGAAUGGGGGAAUACAGGA
rnacentral:snoRNA from 1 species